GUUUUUGGCUAUAACUUAGGUAUAAAUCUUGUAUGAUUUAGAGUUUAUAUGAAGGAGAUAUAGGCACUCAAAGUUAAGAUAUUGAUUUAGAAGCUACUGUCACUAUUUUUGACAUAACGUAUAUGUACAAAGGAAAAUUGAGGAUCGGCAAUUGUGACUGAAGAGAGUACUUUUGCAGCUACACUUUUUGUAUAUUGCUUACUAGAUUCCAAGUUGAAGUGAAG
rnacentral:lncRNA from 1 species